GAUGAACGCUAGCGAUAGGCCUAACACAUGCAAGUCGAGGGGCAUCACAUGAAGUAGCAAUACGGAUGGUGGCGACCGGCGCACGGGUGAGUAACACGUAUGCAACCUGCCUUCAACAAGGGGAUAACCCGUUGAAAGACGGACUAAUACCCUAUAACACAGGGGUCCCGCAUGGGAAUAUUUGUUAAAGGACAACCGGUUGAAGAUGGGCAUGCGUUCCAUUAGCUAGUUGGCGGGGUAACGGCCCACCAAGGCAACGAUGGAUAGGGGAACUGAGAGGUUUAUCCCCCACACUGGUACUGAGACACGGACCAGACUCCUACGGGAGGCAGCAGUGAGGAAUAUUGGUCAAUGGACGCAAGUCUGAACCAGCCACGUCGCGUGAAGGAAGACGGCCCUACGGGUUGUAAACUUCUUUUAUACGGGAAUAAAGUGCCCCACGUGUGGGGUUUUGCAUGUACCGUAUGAAUAAGGAUCGGCUAACUCCGUG
rnacentral:rRNA from 1 species